rnacentral:rRNA from 1 species
GUGCCAGCAGCCGCGGUAAAACGUAGGAUCCGAGCGUUAUCCGAAUUCACUGGGCGUAAAGCGCGUGCAGGCGGCCUGGUAAGUUGGAUGUGAAAUCUCCUGGCUCAACUGGGAGAGGACGUUCAAGACUGCCCGGCUAGAGGACGGUAGAGGGAGGUGGAAUUCCCGGUGUAGUGGUGAAAUGCGUAGAUAUCGGGAGGAACACCAGUGGCGAAAGCGGCCUCCUGGGCCGUACCUGACGCUCAGACGCGAAAGCUAGGGGAGCAAACGGGAUUAGAAACCCUUGUAGUCC